ensembl:lncRNA
CGACCCUAGUGUGGGAUCAAGUCACUGCACUUUGCACUUAAAUCAUCAAAAGCUUGGAAAGAGUUUUCACACCUGGAUCUACGGCACCCCCAAGACCCACGUGCCAAGGCUUGACCUCAUCCCGGGGUGCUGUUAGGAGGUGGAGGAACCUUUAACAGGGGAGGCUGGUGGGAGGAAGUGAGAUCACAGGGGGUGUGGCCACAGAACGGAAGUUAGACUCUGACCCCUCCUCUUCCUGUCUCUCUGCCUUAGUUUCUGGUCUCCAUGGGGUGAGCGACCUAUUUUGCCAUGUGCUCCUGCCAGGAUGCACUGCUUCCCACAGCCCAGAAUCAAGGGGUGACUGACCACGAUCGGAGACCUCCCAAUCUUGGAAGAACAGCGUGAAAUAGCAUAUGAAGAUUCUCUUUGAACAAGACAUUCAGUCUUUUCCUGCCUCCCCCCGCCCCUCUCUGUAUCCAGUCUGGCCUUGAACUUGCAAUCCGUCUGCCUCAGCCUCCCCAGGAAUCGAUCACUGCAUCUAUCUAGACUUCAAUCUGGUUUUGGAGGGGGUACCAAAUUUCUUUAUCUGAAGGAAUGGUGCAAAUUAAAGAACUUCAGCGGAUGUUUUGGUACAAUGUACGGCAAAGCUAAGGUAAGCCCACGUGCAUGCCCUGCCGUGGUGACAGGGACCCCACUCUGAGCUGGGGGCGCAGCCUAAGGGCGCUGGGUCACCGCCUCUGGGUUUGCGGCCACAUCCGCAGAUGAGUGAGGCGGGAACACGACGGCGGGCGGGAACUGCGGAGGAGAGCUGGUCCCUCGUGGUGGCCGGAAACAGAGGGAGGGCGGGGAAGGACCGAGAGGAAGGGGUCCGGAAGGGGUCAGGCCCGGGACCGCCCCCUUGCACCAGCCCCGCCCCGUUCCCAUGGCUCCCGACAGCGCCGUCACAUCACGUGUCAUCAGCGGAUCACUGCGUGGAUGAAUGAGGGCCCCGACGGUCCAUCGCUUCCCCAAAAGCCCCUUGGCUGGGAACCAGGCCUUUCGAAAUGAGUUUUGGGGGACAUUUCACAUCUAAACCGUAGCAACACGUCCUAUCCUUUGUUCUGUUAAACCAGGACUGUUUGAUUCAGACCUUGCUUUUAGUGUAUUAAUGACUCCAUCGAAUCAAAAUACGCUUCUUGGUAGCUUCAAAUGUGCGGAAAUAUGAGUAGUGGUACACAGGACUCUGGGAGGCUGAGGUAGGAGGAUUGUAAGUUCAAGCCAAGCCCGGGCAACUUAGUGACUUCGUGAGACCCUAAAAACCAAAAAGGGCUGGGGGUAGGGCUUAGUGCAAAGGCCCUGGGUUCAAUCUCCACUACUGAGAAGAAAAGGAAGGAAGAAAGAGAAAGCCAAGGGAAAGAAAGAAGUAGUUCUGUCGUGGUCUCCUCCCUCCGAGGGUCAGGGCAGCCUUACUGUUUGCUGGUGUGCCGCAGAAGGAAUGCAACUCCUGUUUGGGUUGGAAGGUGAAGGUGCUGAAACACAGUUCGGCGGCGUCAGGUCCCUUCCACUGCGGUGUGCGACCAUCGCCUCCGCUCGUCUCCACCGCUUUCCAUCAUCCCAAACGCGGGCUCUGCACCCACUCAAGGGACUCCAGCUGGGGCUGAGGCUCAGUGUGAAGGCGCUGGCGCCAUCUCACCAUCGAAAGAAACAAACAAAAACAAACCCCCCUCCCACAAAAAAACACAGCCACAACUCAACAGUUGCUCUCCCUUCCUCUGGCUUCUGGAAGCCACCGCUGCCCUCCCUGUGUGACUGGACUAUUCCAGGGACCUUGUUCAGCGGAACCUGCGUCUUCCACCAAGCCCUCAGUCAUAACAGACUCCCGGCCCCUCCGUGGGCCAGCAGGUGUCAACUGCCUUCCUGUCUGGGCUGGAUCACGCCCCAGGCUGUGUCUGCCGUCUGUCUGUCUUUCUCACCAGUGAAGGGCUCCGGCUGCUUCCACACCGUGGCUAUGGUGAACUCCUCAUGCAUCUCUCUGAGACCUUGCUUUCCAUUCUUUGGCAUGCUCACUCAGGCGUGGGAUUGCCAGAUCCUACGAUAGUCACAUUUUUAAUUGUUUGAGGAGCCGCCACACCGUCUUCCACAGGGGCUGCAGCGUCUUACAAGAGUUCGGGUUUCUCCAGGAGGCCACCAAUGCCUGGUGUUUCCAGUUGGGUUUUGUGUUGUUGAUUGCUGUCUGCGCCCUUAGGGUGCGAGGCGGG